rnacentral:tRNA from 1 species
GUGGUGGUAGUUUAGUGGUUAAGGAACUGGGUUAGUAUGCAGUAGCCUGAAAAGUUUUGGGUUCAAUUCCCAGCUUCCACA